UUUCAUGGAUCAAAUGUAUCUUCCAUAUUAAAGAUAACAUGGCAUUAAAAUAAAUGUAGCAAGGAUUAUUGGUUUUACAAGAAAAAUUAUCAGAAACACACAAAUAGUAGUCCACAUAUCUACUCAAUGGGGUCUGUUGUGUACAAACCCAAAAUAUACCUUAUAAACAAGCAAUACUUAUAAAAUCUGAUUACAUAUUUUGUAGCAAAACUUCAAAAGUUUCCUUCAAAGUUAGGGGAGCAAUCCACAAGAGAUCACCUUCACUUCUGACCCCAACUUAAGAGUUCAGGGUUCCCAGUGAGAGGUGAAUCUGUCUGGGCUUCUGG
rnacentral:lncRNA from 10 species